UAAACCAAACAAGCCAAAUUAACUGGUGGACUUGGUCUUUUUCUAGGAAGAUAAAAAUCGAAAACGGAAAAAGCGUCCAAAUUGUGGGUUUUAUCGGUUCUUACCAUUACCCUCGCUUACGUUCGCAGCUUUGGAAGCAGAAAUUGUAAACAAGAAAAAGAAAAAUGAGACGUACAAGAUUGCAUUGAAUUGCCCUGCAUUAAAACUCAUUGAUGAGCCAAGGAUGUCCUAUACUUUAAGGCCUGGUCAAAAAGAGAUGAUUAUAUUUAAAAUUGAAGUAAAAAAGAUGGAGAUACACAAGACCCCGGAGCUAGUACGACAUAAAUGUGUGAUCACGAAAUGGUCGGAAAAGACGAAUGCUUUAGAUAUGUGCAAUUUUGAUGUUCCUGUGUGGCCCUAUGGCUUGUUUGAUUAUCCUUGUG